CGGAGAUUCAGCAAUGGAUCUUAGUGGCGAACGGGUGAGUAACGCGUAGGCAAUCUGCCUUCUAGAUGGGGACAACAUCCCGAAAGGGGUGCUAAUACCGAAUGUUGUACCGUUUCCGCAUGGAGAUGAUACUAAAGGUGGCCUCUGAAUAUGCUACCGCUAGAAGAUGAGCCUGCGUCUGAUUAGCUAGUUGGAGGGGUAACGGCCCACCAAGGCUUCGAUCAGUAGCCGGUCUGAGAGGAUGAACGGCCACACUGGGACUGAGACACGGCCCAGACUCCUACGGGAGG
rnacentral:rRNA from 1 species